rnacentral:rRNA from 1 species
UACAGAGGGUGCAAGCGUUAAUCGGAAUUACUGGGCGUAAAGCGUGCGUAGGUGGUUUGUUAAGUCUGUUGUGAAAGCCCCGGGCUCAACCUGAGAAUGGCAAUGGAUACUGGCAAGCUAGAGUGCGGUAGAGGGUAGUGGAAUUCCCGGUGUAGCGGUGAAAUGCGUAGAGAUCGGGAGGAACACCAGUGGCGAAGGCGGCUACCUGGACCAGCACUGACACUGAGGCACGAAAGCGUGGGGAGCAAACAGG